rnacentral:lncRNA from 1 species
UACCUACACUGCCUUCUUUGGGUAGAAAAACAACUCCAAGUCACACAGCAAAGGCCAAGAAACUCAGGUAAUUUCUCCUCUAAGGGUAAGGAGUUUGCUCUUGCUAACCAAUCUUCGGCCAAACUAAAUAUUCAAAGCUCUGUCCCUACUGUACCUAACAAUUCUCGAGAGAAUGAUCGUGAUCUUGUUUGUCAAAUCUAUGACAAAUGAGAUCACAAUACCCUUCAUUGUUAGCAUAGGUUUUGUUGUGGUUCAAAUUCGGCCCGAGGGUGACCAUGCCGGAGGAGUCGGGGGGAGCUGCCGGAGGGGACGGAGAAGGGUGUCGCUUCCUGCACGCCAGCAGACCUGCACAAAGCCUUAUCGGUGGAGUUUCAGUGAGGGCUCUC